rnacentral:rRNA from 1 species
UAAGAGGUCCAGCCUGCCCAGUGACACAAUUUAACGGCCGCGGUACCCUAACCGUGCGAAGGUAGCAUAAUCACUUGUUCUUUAAAUAGGGACUAGUAUCAACGGCAUCACGAGGGUUAUACUGUCUCCUCUCUCCAAUCAGUGAAACUGAUCUCCCCGUGAAGAAGCGGGGAUUUUUAUAUAAGACGAGAAGACCCCAUGGAGCUUCAAACCCAGUAUACAUCUCUAUAAUACUAUAUCACCUUAACCCAAGAAACCUGUAUACUAGUUUUAGGUUGGGGGGACCGCGGAGUAUAACUUAACCUCCACGACAAACGGGCCUAAGCCCUUAUCCACGAACCACAAUUCCAAGAAUCAAUAAACUGAUGUUUAAUGACCCGAUAAUUCGAUCAACGAACCAAGUUACCCUGGGGAUAACAGCGCAAUCUACUUCAAGAGCCCCUAUCGACAAGUAGGUUUACGACCUCGAUGUUGGAUCAGGGUAUCCUAGUGGUGCAGCCGCUACUAAUGGUUCG